AUACAUGCAGUCGAGCGAACUGAUUAGAAGCUUGCUUCUAUGACGUUAGCGGCGGACGGGUGAGUAACACGUGGGCAACCUGCCUGUAAGACUGGGAUAACUUCGGGAAACCGAAGCUAAUACCGGAUAACAUCAUUCCUUGCAUAAGGAAUGAUUGAAAGAUGGUUUCGGCUAUCACUUACAGAUGGGCCCGCGGUGCAUUAGCUAGUUGGUGAGGUAACGGCUCACCAAGGCAACGAUGCAUAGCCGACCUGAGAGGGUGAUCGGCCACACUGGGACUGAGACACGGCCCAGACUCCUACGGGAGGCAGCAGUAGGGAAUCUUCCGCAAUGGACGAAAGUCUGACGGAGCAACGCCGCGUGAGUGAUGAAGGCUUUCGGGUCGUAAAACUCUGUUGUUAGGGAAGAACAAGUAUGAGAGUAACUGCUCGUACCUUGACGGUACCUAACCAGAAAGCCACGGCUAACUACGUGCCAGCAGCCGCGGUAAUACGUAGGUGGCAAGCGUUAUCCGGAAUUAUUGGGCGUAAAGCGCGCGCAGGCGGUUUCUUAAGUCUGAUGUGAAAGCCCACGGCUCAACCGUGGAGGGUCAUUGGAAACUGGGGAACUUGAGUGCAGAAGAGAAAAGC
rnacentral:rRNA from 1 species